rnacentral:misc_RNA from 1 species
AGAGUUCAUCAGCUUGGCCAGGCCAAAGUCUGCUAAAUAAGCCUCGAACUUGGAAUCUAGAAGUAUGUUAUUGCACUUAACAUCUCUGUGAAGUAUUGCAGGCACACAAUCAUGAUGAAGAUAAGCUAGACCUUGAGCUGAUCCUACUGCAAUCUUGUACCUUGUUUCCCAAUCCAAAUUUCUAUUCCCUUGCAACAGCUGUUGCAGAUUACCAUUCGGAAUGUAGUUGUAGAGAAGGAGCUUGACACUUCUAUUGGAACAAUAGCCCAAGAGCUUCACAAUAUUCCGAUGUCGAAU